CACAUUAGACCCUGGAACUCCUGGCCCAGUGUCUUAGUCAGGGUUCUCUAGAGUCACAGAACUUAUGGAUAGUGUCUAUAUAUUAAGGGGAUUUGUUAUGAUGACUUAGAGUCUGUUGUCCAACUCCCCAACAAUGGUCAGCUGUGAAUGGGGAGUCCAAGGAUCUAGUAGUUGCUCAGUCCCACAAAGCUAGCAGAUCCAACAGAUGUGUUGGCAAGUCAAUGCAAGCAGGCGAAGAAGAGUGAAUCUUCCUUCUUUCAAUGUCCUUAUGUAGGUCUCCAGUAGAAGGUGUGGCCCAGAUUAAAGGACCUUCACCGGCUCCCAGACAGCUGCUUUCAUGUGGCAUCUACUCCUGACCCCAAGAUGGGAGAGGAGAAUGAAGAAGGAAAAGAUGAUGGGAAAAUCGUCCUGGACUUGAACGGUUAUAAGUGGGUUUACUUGGGUAUUUCUGGUCUGGUAGGUGACUAAGGCUGGUGC
rnacentral:lncRNA from 1 species